GGAUGUGACGGCGAUCUGGCCGCGACUUCGGCCACCCCAUUGAUCGCCGGGGUUGUUCCGGCUGAUCUGGCUGGCUAGGCGGGUGUCCCCGCCCUCCCUCGCCACUCCACCCGCGUCCCUCCCAGAGCUGCUGGGUCCAAGAGGACGACCUUCCCCCGGUGGCGGAGGACCGCUCUUCGGGCAAGAGUAUACGAGUCGCUGCACUCCGCUGCUAGAACCUCCAAACACACUCGCAAGACGUGUAUUGUUGAUUCGUGUGCACGCAUUGUUAAUUCACUGAAGGGAUAUCAUAAUUCUUGUUCUGUUCUCUACUUUUUUUACCAAAGGAUCUUU
rnacentral:snRNA from 1 species